rnacentral:lncRNA from 1 species
ACAUGGCUGUUAAGGCCAAUGAAAUAGAAAUGUUUGAUAUGUGUGAUCGAAUCAAUGUUGGACCACAGUCCGUCAAAGAGCCGCAGUCAGCAGGUUCAGAAAGGGAAGAUAUUAUUUCAAGGUUGGAUUUUUGGCUAACUGGCUAAAAAACAAAAAAUAAAACUGCCUUUAUCAUAUCAGUGUGCACAAGUAAACAACAACAUCAACAAGAGUCAAUUCAAGUUCUAGAGACUAACAGACAUGA